UACGGGGGGGGCAAGCGUUGUUCGGAAUUACUGGGCGUAAAGGGCUCGUAGGCGGCCAACUAAGUCAGACGUGAAAUCCCUCGGCUUAACCGGGGAACUGCGUCUGAUACUGGAUGGCUUGAGUUCGGGAGAGGGAUGCGGAAUUCCAGGUGUAGCGGUGAAAUGCGUAGAUAUCUGGAGGAACACCGGUGGCGAAGGCGG
rnacentral:rRNA from 1 species